UGCGUAGGCGGGUUUUUAAGUCAGAGGUGAAAUCCUGGAGCUCAACUCCAGAACUGCCUUUGAUACUGAAAGUCUUGAGUAUGGGAGAGGUGAGUGGAACUGCGAGUGUAGAGGUGAAAUUCGUAGAUAUUCGCAAGAACACCAGUGGCGAAGGCGGCUCACUGGCCCAUAACUGACGCUGAGGCAAGACUGGGGAGGCAACA
rnacentral:rRNA from 1 species